UGACUUACCUGGCAGGGGAGAUACCAAGAUCACGAAGGUGGUUUUCCCAGGGUGAGGCUUAUCCAUUGCACUCCGGAUGUUCUGACCCCUGCGAUUUUCCCAAAUGUGGGAAAGUCGACUGCAUAAUAAGUGGGGGACUGCAUUCACACGUUCCCCUG
ensembl:snRNA U1 U1 spliceosomal RNA